rnacentral:rRNA from 1 species
GUGCCAGCAGCCGCGGUAAUACGAAUGGAGCGAGCGUUGUUCGGAAUCACUGGGCGUAAAGGGUGCGCAGGCGGUCAUGAAAGUUAGAAGUGAAAUCCCUGGGCUCAACCCAGGAAUUGCUUUUAAAACUCCAUGACUAGAGUACUGGAGAGGUUGGCGGAAUUCCGAGUGUAGCAGUGAAAUGCGUAGAUAUUCGGAGGAACACCGAUGGCGUAGGCAGCCAACUGGACAGUUACUGACGCUCAUGCACGAAAGCGUGGGGAUCAAACAGGAUUAGAAACCCCAGUAGUCC